AAAUGUGGCAGAGGACUUCUGGGGAAGGGUGCAGGCGAGGUAGGGGGUGGAGUGCACCGUCAGAGGCAUGGAGCCCGGGCAGGUCAGGACAAGGGAUGUCUUGUUUGCAGCUCUAAGUUGCCUCCUGCAGUAUUCUCUCUGUUGUGUUCUGUCAUAGUGUUUUUGGGAAAUGGAAAAAGAAAAGCAGUGCCUAGCGUGAGCCAAAGCUGUCAUCCCUCGAGGACGGGUCUGUGUCAGCUGCGAGUGAACACACUAGCACCCAGUGCUGCGAGCGGCGCUGUGCUUCCGUGGGACUACAGUAAGGAAGGGAAUUUUCAUUAUGGUCACCAUUUGGAAAUUUCAACUAAAGAUAAUUGCAGACCCAAGGUUUCUUCUAAAUAUGGUGUGACCUUCCUCCCAGCCACUCUGGCAAAGAACACACUAACCGCUUCUGUCAAAUACGUGGAUGUCUUACCGCUGACCCAUCUCUGUAAGCUCUGCGAGUUUGAGAAUCUUCCUGCAAGUAGGCUGCAAGUAACACCUAGGGCUGCAAACUGGAGAACUGUCUAG
rnacentral:lncRNA from 1 species